GACGAACGCUGGCGGCGUGCUUAACACAUGCAAGUCGAACGGUAAGGCCCUUCGGGGUACACGAGUGGCGAACGGGUGAGUAACACGUGGGUGAUCUGCCCUGCACUUCGGGAUAAGCCUGGGAAACUGGGUCUAAUACCGGAUAGGACCACUGCCUGCAUGGGUGGUGGUGGAAAGCUUUUGCGGUGUGGGAUGGGCCCGCGGCCUAUCAGCUUGUUGGUGGGGUGAUGGCCUACCAAGGCGACGACGGGUAGCCGGCCUGAGAGGGUGACCGGCCACACUGGGACUGCGAUACGGCCCAGACGCCUACGGGAGGCAGCAGUGGGGAAUAUUGCACAAUGGGCGCAAGCCUGAUGCAGCGACGCCGCGUGAGGGAUGACGGCCUUCGGGUUGUAAACCUCUUUCAGCACCGACGAAGCGCAAGUGACGGUAGGUGCAGAAGAAGGACCGGCCAACUACGUGCCAGCCGCCGCAGUAAAAC
rnacentral:rRNA from 1 species